rnacentral:rRNA from 1 species
CCUACGGGAGGCAGCAGUGAGGAAUAUUGGUCAAUGGACGAGAGUCUGAACCAGCCAAGUAGCGUGAAGGAUGACUGCCCUAUGUGUUGUAAACUUCUUUUAUCAAGGAAUAAAACGAGGCACGUGUGCCUUUUUGCAUGUACUUUAUGAAUAAGGAUCGGCUAACUCCGUGCCAGCAGCCGCGGUAAUACGGAGGAUCCGCGCGUUAUCCGGAUUUAUUGGGUUUAAAGGGAGCGUAGAUGGGUUGUUAAGUCAGUUGUGAAAGUUUGCGGCUCAAACGUAAAAUUGCAAUUGAUACUGGCAGUCUAGAGUACAGGUGAGGUAGGCGGAAUUCGUGGUGUAGCGGUGAAAUGCUUAGAUAUCACGAAGAACCCCGAGUGCGAAGGCAGCUUACUAAACUGUGACUGACAUUGAUGCUCGAAAGUGUGGGUAUCAAACAGGAUUAGAUACCCCUGUAGUC